AUUGAACGCUGGCGGCAGGCCUAACACAUGCAAGUCGAACGGUAACAGGAAACAGCUUGCUGUUUCGCUGACGAGUGGCGGACGGGUGAGUAAUGUCUGGGAAACUGCCUGAUGGAGGGGGAUAACUACUGGAAACGGUAGCUAAUACCGCAUAACGUCGCAAGACCAAAGAGGGGGACCCUCGGGCCUCUUGCCAUCGGAUGUGCCCAGAUGGGAUUAGCUUGUUGGUGGGGUAACGGCUCACCAAGGCGACGAUCCCUAGCUGGUCUGAGAGGAUGACCCGCGACUGAGAAGCGGAGCCGCGAUCCGGACUCCUAGGGAGGGCAGGGAUGGGGAUGAUAGCACAAGGGGCGAAAGCCGGGUGAAGCCAUGCCGGGUGUAUGAAGAAGGCCUUCGGGUUGGAAAAUACUUUCAGGGGGGAGGAAGGGGUUAAAGUUAAUCCCUUUGCGCAUUGAGUUUACCGGAAAAAGAGCCCCGGCCAACCCCGGG
rnacentral:rRNA from 1 species